GGAAAAUGUAGGAAAAAAUUUUGAAUAUAUUUUAGUUUAUUAAGUAUAUAAAUAUACCGUAUGUAUUAAAAUAUAGUUGCCUUAUUUCAAUUUUUGAUUUGUUUUCAAUGUUUUUCUUGCCCCUGUUCACAUUCUGUCUACAACAUAUAUUUAUUUAGAUAUAAAAAGUUUAAAAUAAAUUUGGGCCAGAAAAAAAAAAAAAAGAAUUUUAUACAAUAUUUAUAUGUGUGCGUGUGUGUGUGUGUGUGUGUGUGUGUGUGUGUGUGUGUGUAUGUUUUAUAAUGUGUUUUAAAAAUAUAUCAAAAAUAUUUUAGGAAAAUGUAUAUGUGUUGUCAUGUUCUGUGCUUGGUUUCCCUGUGUUUUGUUUUUUUUAUAUUCUGAGUUUCUUUGUUUAUCUUCUUGUAAUAAAGCUGCAUUUAGAUCCUCAUUCCUCGCCUGCCACAUCACAUUAAGCUAAAAUGCUUAAAUUAUUUUAUUAUUUUUUUCACAUUAAUCUACACUCCAUAGCCCAUAAUGUCAAAGCAAAAACCAGAUUUUUGAUAACUUUAAUAUCACAGUUGGUGGGUUUCCAUCCAUUUUUAUGCGCAUUUUGAAAUUGCGCAUAAGAAAUCCUGAAUGGAAACGCUUUAUAUGUGAAUAAACUUUCUAAAUUAGCUUAACAUUUAAUGCACUAGGAGAAGGUGGAUUUUCUAGAGUUUUGCAUUUGCAAAUAUGCAAAGUUCUGUUCUCUGUUUUGUGCGCAGCUGUAUUGUGUUCUGUUGUCACUAUCACUGUUUUUAGAUAAACGAGUUUUCGCUUGAACGCCCCAAUGUCGUGAGGGCGCUGCGUGAACUAUUGCUCUCGUGUCCUAUCAUGAACACACACAGGAGAUCAACGGUCAGUGAACAUUUUCACUAAAUAAUACAUUAGAUUUCAGUUUGUUUCUCAUCAAAUCUUAUCGUAUGCUUUCAUAACAAUCAUGAGUCUCAUGAAUAAUUUAUUAGACUUCUGAAUUAUACUUUUGUGUUCUUUUGAAGCUUGAAGAGGUGGUCACCAUAAACUGCCAUUGUAUGACAUCACUGAGCACAACAUUUCUUCACAAUUACUCCCUUUGUGUUCAGAAAAAGAGAGAAAGUCAGACAGUGUUAUAACAACACAGGGAAAAAAAAAAAGUUAUACUGAUUUGGAACAACAUCAUGGUUUCAUAUUAGCAAACUGCCAUUUAGGACAUCUGCUUUGUGCAUGACAUGAGUAAUUUUUCCAACAAUUGUUUACAGACAGAUUGUUUCACUUUUAAUUGACUAUAUCACAGUUUCAAAUCAAUCCUAGAACAACAGCAAAGGACCUUGUGAAGAUGCUGGAGGAAACAGAUAGACAAGUAUCUAGAUCCACAGUAAAACAAGUCCUAUAUCGGCAUAACCUGAAAGGCUGCUCAGCAAGGAAGAAGCCAUUGCUCCAAAACUGCCAUAAAAAAGCCAUACUACAGUUUGAAAGUGCACAUGGGGACAAAGAUCUUCUCCUCUGGUCUGAUGAAACAAAAAUUGAAUUGUUUGGCCAUAAUGACCAUCGUUAUGUUUGGAGGAAAAAGGGUUUGCAAGACGAAGAACACCAUCCCAAUCGUGAAGCAUGGGGGUGGCAGCAUCAUGUUGUGGGGGUGCUUUGCUGCAGGAGGGACUGGUGCACUUCACUAAAUAAAUGGCAUCACGAGGAAGGAAAAUUAUGUGGAUAUAUUGAAGCAGCAUCCCAAGACAUCAGCCAGGAAGUUAAAGCUCAUCGAAAAUGGGUCUUCCAAAUGGACAAUGACCCCAAGCAUACCUCCAAAGUUGUGGCAAAAUGUCUUAAGGACAACAAAGUCAAGGUAUUGGAGUGGCCAUCACAAAGCCCUGACCUCAAUCCGAUAGAAAAUUUGUGGGCAGAACUGAAAAAGCAUGUGCGAGCAAGGAGGCCUACAAACCUGACUCAGUUACACCAGUUCUGUCUGGAGGAAUGGGACAAAAUUCCAGCAACUUAUUGUGAGAAGCUUGUGGAAGUGUGUGUUGGGGGUGGGGGAGGAGGGUUGGCAGGCUGGAUGUUGCACCAAGUUUAAAUGCCGAAACGCUAAUUAUAUUAUGGCAGAGGGGGAUAUUACCAGUGAAUAAUGACUUAAAUUCUGGAUUAUUCCUUGGGAGGAUAGUUUAAAAAAGUCCUUAAAGAUGUGCUAGGGGCACCAAUAAACUAAAUUAACAUUAAUAGACUUCGCGUCAAAAAUAACCUAGAAUUACCUUCUUUUUUUCUUCUUUUUUUUUUUGCAUUGACACCAAACGCCUUUUUCCGUAACGAACAUGAUGCAAAAAGUUUGAAUAUGCACAUGCGCUAAUGAAAUUUGUAAGAGGAAGAUAUGAAAGAUUUUUAGAGAAUACCUACUUAAAAAUGGUUUACUCCUUAUGAAACUCACUAUAUAUUUAGUCUAGAGUCAAUCGUAUCGACUACUUUUAGUUUAAAAAAGUUACUUUUAUAGCGUGUUAUGGCGUCCUUUUGGAGGUUGACCGUUUUUGAGAGGAAAAGAGCGGUAACACUUUAUUUUAAGUGUCCACAAUAAUGCACUAGUUAAGCAUGCAUAUAGAGUAACGUUAUCUCAACUGGACCCCUACAUAUUUACCUAUUAAACUUAUUGUUUUGUUUUGCAUUUAUUAGGUGGUAUUUUAGUUUAUUGAACUAUAUUAAGACAGUAAUUAUUCAAUUACUAAAUUGUUAAUAAUGUACUGCAUAAAUGAACUACUACAAAUUAUAUAAUUUCAUUAUUUGUUAAUAUUUUAAGAAAUGAAUGUUAAAAUAAAGAAACUUUUGUUCAUAUGUUUUUUCCCCAUUUAUUAUGUGUUUACAGUAUUUGCAGUAAGCUAAAAAAAAGUUCAGUUUUAUUUUAAUUGAAUCAUGCACUAAAAAAGGUAGAUUUUAGUAAUUUGUUAGUAACAGAUCCAAUACUAAUUAGUCUUAAUUACUGGCUUAAUAUUGUAUAGUAAACAUGAAAUUCUAUCGCAGAAAUAAUAAAGCAUUAUUGGAUUACUUUCUACACAAAAAUAAGACAUUUAUUAAGUUGUAUAUUAUGGCUAAGACAGCCUUAUUCUACAUGUAGUUACUUAUUAACUACCUAUUAAUUAACUAUUACUGUCUUAUUCAUGUUUAACUAGUGCAUUAUUGUGGACCUUUAAAAUAAAGUGUUCAUCUUCAUUAUACGUCAUACAAUUAAAUCUGAAUGAUGUCGUUUCUGCGCCACCAAAUGGAAUUGCAAAAAUAAACAUUGUUUACAAAAAGCCCCUCUGCCGUUGUUUAAACAAACAGAUAGUCCCGCCCCCAACUCACACCAUUGGUCGAGUUAAUGUUAAUGUUAUUAUGAUCAUAGCACCACAGAGACACAGUGUUUACAGUUUUCGAGAAAAUUAACCUAUGAAUGGUGUACUUAUAGCUGUCUCUGCAUAUUAAGCCGGGAUUCUAAAGUAUUUUAACACUGAAAAAUAUAAUAUUUUAAAGCAACAUGAGGGUGAGUAAAUGAUUGCAGACUCUUGGAAAUGAUCUGUUGAAUAUUCGACAGCUCAUCUGUAUAAAUACUUGGCUUAAUUUGAACUAUCAAGACUGCGGCAUCAGCCAGAUGUCUAGAGGAAUUUAAUCAUAAUUUAAAAUUUCACGAUCAUAUUAAGGAAGUAUUUGUUCUGAAGUGCCACGUCUGGUUUAAAGAUGCAUUAAUAAACUCUGCAGUCUUUCUCUCUUUUACCUUGUUAGGCAAAACGUCUGAUUUUUUAGUCUUGUCGAGUGUGUAGUCUGACUGUAAAUACUCUCUGACUGAUGGACACAAGUGAAGAUGAUUCUGUGAGGAUGUUGAGCGCCACCAUUUGGCAGCUUCUGUAAUUACAGCAUACACAAUAGCUGAAUAAAACUUAUGAACAAUGGUGUUUAAAACCAUUAAAAUUAUCAAUUAUUAAUUAUUCCCAUGACAUUUCCAUAUGUGUAUAUACUGCAUAAGGAUAUUAAAAAAAUAUUACAUUCACAAAUAUCAAUUUCUGGCUAAUAUAAUAUUUUAGAGCAGAGUGUACAAAUCUGUUGUGACUAAACAAGCAUAUCCAUGUAAAUAUAGUUGGUUAUACAAUGCAAACAUUAAAAUGAGUCAUACACUGUAGUAAAAGUGUUUAUAUGUCAUAAGAUAACAUUGUGUGGGAAACAGAGUGAAAAGUAAGUGUUUAUGAACUGAUAAUCUGCCGUUUAACUCACCAGGGUGAUUAGUGUUCCCAUUGGUGAAGCUGGACUUUUAAGCAACUGAAAUUAAGCAGAAUCAAUAAAAUAAAGUUCAUUUGAAACAGCGUGCUAUUAGUUGUUAAAUCGUAUUUAUGUGACAUACCUUUUCAAGUCAAUAAAGUUGAAUGAACUGAUACAUUUGUGUAUAUCUAACAAAGGUUUUCUAGUUAUGCUGACAUAAAAUGACCAUAAGGUUGAAUUUACUUAAAAAGCGUAAUGCAAAAAAUGCUACAUAUAUAUUUUAUGUAAAUCCAACACUACAUUUUGUGUAUUUUGUGGUGAAGUAAAUGAAGCAGAAAAGAUUAAUUACAUUGAAUAAGUUAAAGAGUGAACUUGAAAAUAUUAAGUAAAUUCUACAUUUGUACUCAAUUCAAACAUGCUCCAGCUUUUAAGUACCGUAAAUAUUAUUUAUGAUUGUUUGUUAUCUUUACAAUGUGCCAUUAUGGAUAAAUCCUAAAGUUGAAAACCUUGUCAUAUUUACAAUUUUUACAGGUCAAAAAAAUAAGUACAUUUUACUUAACUUUCUAAUUAUUGAGCUUGCAUGGUUUCACUGUUUUAAAGUUGAUUUACACUAUUUAUUGUUGAUUUUGUUGUUACAUUUGGUAACUUGUUUUGUGAAGUCUGAAGCUCAUUUUCUACUCAAAAUGACCCGUUCAUGAUAAAAAAUAAAAUAAAUCUGUUGAUUGUUACCGUCAUCGUGUUUUGUGCAGCAGGUUUUCAGUCUGUGUGCGCAGUUCUUUAUCGUGUUUCCAAUGCCAGUAAUGCAGGAUGAUGUUUCGGUAUGUCAUGUGGUACAUGAUUAAAUGUAAUUAUAAGAAAAGUUCAAAUUAAAUGUUCUAAUAAUUUCUAAAAAUGCACUUUGUUUAAGUACAAUGUACAUCAGAUUUCUAAGUAAAAGUGACUGUAUUUACUAAAAUGUUUACAUUUACUCACUCAUUUUAAUCAAUAUUAUUUAUGAAGUUAAUUAUAUUUUACUUUGCAAAAACAUGUGAAAUAAAAACUGAGUAAAUCUUACUGGUCAUUUAUUUCAGUAUACUGUACAACAAGCCACGUAAAAAUAAUUUUGCAAAAAUGUAAGUAUAAUAAUGUGAUUCUACGAGAAAAGGCUGUAAUAAAUAUGCAUAUUUGAUUAUAAAUAUACUACUGUUCACUGUUAGUUUACUAAUGAUAUCAUAAAUAACUUGUAAACAUUUAGAAAUUAUAAUUAACCAAGAUUAACAUGCUUUAAAAGUACAAUCACAUUAACUAUUGCACAGAAAUCUGAUAUAUGGACAUAACUGACUACAGGUGCAUCUCAAUAAAUUAGAAUAUCGUGGAAAAGUUCAUUUAUUUCAGUAAUUCAACUCAAAUUG